ACCCCGCGGCCUAGUGGUUAGCGCUGCAGUUUUGGAAUCUGAGGACGCGGGUUCGAACCCCAUUGGGGUA